UACGUAGGGUGCAAGCGUUAUCCGGAAUUAUUGGGCGUAAAGAGCUCGUAGGCGGUUUGUCGCGUCUGCUGUGAAAACUGGGGGCUCAACCCCCAGCCUGCAGUGGGUACGGGCAGACUAGAGUGCGGUAGGGGAGAUUGGAAUUCCUGGUGUAGCGGUGAAAUGCGCAGAUAUCAGGAGGAACACCGGUGGCGAAGGCGGGUCUCUGGGCAACAACUGACGCUGAGGAGCGAAAGCGUGGGGAGCGAACAGG
rnacentral:rRNA from 1 species